rnacentral:rRNA from 1 species
UGAGGAAUAUUGGUCAAUGGGCGCAAGCCUGAACCAGCCAUCCCGCGUGCAGGAUGACGGCCCUAUGGGUUGUAAACUGCUUUUAUACACCAAGAAAAACUCCGACGUGUCGGAGCCCGACGGUAGUGUAUGAAUAAGCAUCGGCUAACUCCGUGCCAGCAGCCGCGGUAAUACGGAGGAUGCAAGCGUUAUCCGGAUUCAUUGGGUUUAAAGGGUGCGUAGGCGGCUUUUUAAGUCAGUGGUGAAAUCCUGUCGCUUAACGAUAGAAUUGCCAUUGAUACUGAAGAGCUUGAGUCCAGUUGAGGUAAGCGGAAUGUGUAGUGUAGCGGUGAAAUGCUUAGAUAUUACACAGAACACCGAUUGCGAAGGCAGCUUACUAAACUGGUACUGACGCUGAUGCACGAAAGCGUGGGGAGCGAACA